AAGUGGAGUACUGUUAACCUCUAGGACUUACAUGUGUAGUUCAGAAAUACUGCAGAUGGGUUGUGUUGGCACAUCCCAGAAUAAAUUGGGUUUGGACCACAUAAGAGGUAGUGCUCACGGUCAUCUGAUGUCAACUGAAACCUGGAUUGGCCCGGGAUAUGGAAACCUGUUUUUCUGACUUCAUUGCUGUUUUAUCUCUCCUGAGUUUGACAGCAGGAGACAGUGAAAGGAGAAUUAACACUUUGAUGGUAUGUGUGCAGACAGAAAUUCUGACGACUCAAGACUUGGAAUCCUUUUUCUUUCCUUUCUCUUACCCAGCUCUGAUAUCUCAUAAAUUUAUUUGUGCAUUUUCAUUACUGAGAUGGAAAGUAACAUGAUGCUUAAGACUGUGCAGUUUUGGACACAUUUGCUUGACCAGAGAAACGCC
rnacentral:lncRNA from 1 species